UACGUAGGGUGCAAGCGUUGUCCGGAAUUAUUGGGCGUAAAGAGCUCGUAGGCGGUUUGUCGCGUCUGCUGUGAAAACGCGAGGCUCAACCUCGCGCCUGCAGUGGGUACGGGCAGACUAGAGUGCGGUAGGGGAGAUUGGAAUUCCUGGUGUAGCGGUGGAAUGCGCAGAUACGAGGAAGACACCGAUGGCGAAGGCAGAUCUCUGGGCCGUAACUGACGCUGAGGAGCGAAAGCGUGGGGAGCGAACAGG
rnacentral:rRNA from 1 species